GAGCAGGAUGAGUCGGAGCUUGCUCCAUGAUUCACCGGCGGACGGGUGAGUAAUGCCUAGGAAUCUGCCUGGUAGUGGGGGAUAACGUUUCGAAAGGAACGCUAAUACCGCAUACGUCCUACGGGAGAAAGUGGGGGAUCUUCGGACCUCACGCUAUCAGAUGAGCCUAGGUCGGAUUACCUAGUUGGUGGGGUAAUGGCCCACGAAGGCGACCAUCCGUAACUGGUCUGAGAGGAUGAUCAGUCACACUGGAACUGAGACACGGGCCACACUCCUACCGGAGGCAGCAUUGGGGAAUAUUGGACAAUGGGCGAAAGCCUGAUCCAGCCAUGCCGCGUGUGUGAAGAAGGUCUUCGGAUUGUAAAGCACUUUAAGUUGGGAGGAAGAGCAGUAAGUUAAUACCUUGCUGUUUUGACGUUACCAACA
rnacentral:rRNA from 1 species